CCUGCAUGGGAACGGAGCUAUUUGGUUUUGAAUUUUCUUCCCCUGAGUCCUGAAAAAUAGGAGACACUUCAUCAGGUGGCAUCUUUCUUCAGAGGGUUUUUACAAAAUCUCUUGCGGGGAGAGAAGCCAGGAGAUCUUUUGAAAGUGAUCGUCUUGAGCCUUCACUGUGGGCUUGUUCGAGAAGACAUUUCAUGAACACCCCACGACCUGCUCGGGGUUAAUUUUCCGCAUGUGUCAGGAGGGCCAAAAUGACUUUGUAUUGCUGAUGGCAGCUUGGACUUGCAACAACCCGUGGUUGAGACAUCUAGGGAUUUUGAAAUAAAGCGAGGAAUGGGAUUAAAAAAAGGGGGACAGAACUUUUCCCCCCUCCGCCUGGCUUAUGCCUGCUCUUCAGAGCCUUGGAAGUGGAGUGCCCUGGGGAUAUUUUUAAACAUCAGGAGCUAGUUCAUUUGAAAGUGACAUUUAUAGUCACCGCAAUGAGCAGCUGGCUAGCUGACAUUCAGAUCCUCAGCAAAAAGGGAACCCAGAAAACAGCCUGGAUGCCCAGUUGAAAGGACAUGGGGAAAGGAAAGAGGCAGAGGUAAGUGAUUUUCUGAAUGAUUCUGCUUCUUUUUCUAUAUUGUCUGAUUUUCUCCUGCCUGACCCUUUCCCGAUUAAAAAGCUGGGGGAAAAUGUCAGACUCCAAGCAAGUCACCAAGAGUAAACGGAAAGUGAGCUUCAGCCCCAGUCAGGAGCCGAUUCCAGCCUCAGUCAGCUCCCAGGAGCCGCCACAGGAAGACUGCAACAGCAACCCUCUGCCAGAGACCCCUAGCCAGGCUGAGCCGGCCUCCCACAAAGGACCCCAAGACACCUGCCAGCAGAGAAACUCCCAAUCGCCCCCGCCGCAGGAUCCCCAAGGAAACCCCCUCUCGUCUGAAUACGCCUCCCCAGCAUGCCAAGCCAGCGGGUCGGGGACCGAAGGCCUGGAGCUCCCGAACACCAGUGGCCUGCCCACGCCAGCCAGGCCCCAGGGCCAGCGAGCCAGAGCCCUCUGCAGAGAAGACAGGAAGCAGGCACACAUCAGGAGACAGCUGAUGACCGACUUCAUCCUGGGAUCCUUCGACGAUAACUCCUCUGACGAGGACGCCGCUGCUGGCUUGUUCCAGCAAUCUUCUCGGAAGGGCAGCCGGGCCAGCCUGGGGGCCCUGUGUCUGGAGACCGCUCAGGCCGCAGGCGAGACUGAGACCUCCACCUCCGUCAUAAGGUAACGGACACUUUGUCCUUGUAACCAGGAGGUGCAGUGUUGGGGUGGGGUCCAUACCCUUCCCUGCUCAGCCAAGCAACCGGCUGUGCCAGUGCUUUGAGGGUGGCUAUGUGGCAAGCAGGAGACAUGAGCCUCCCCCCGCCUUCCUUCCCUCCUCUCAAAAUCAUUUGUUGAGUAUAUCCUGUGAGUACAGGGCUCCAGGCCAGGACACUGGCUUUCCAGAAGACUGUGGUCUAGUUGGGGCAGAUGACCUUGUAUGUAACAACUAAUUAUAAUCUGUCACGCGAGUGUAUGCUCCUCGGUUCUUUGUCUCGUCACAACAAAAAUUUGGAGUGACGGACAUUGAAGCCCCCUCGGCGGGUUGCAGCUCUCAGAGGACAGCCCGUG